GUGGGGAAUUUUGGACAAUGGGCGCAAGCCUGAUCCAGCAAUGCCGCGUGCAGGAAGAAGGCCUUCGGGUUGUAAACUGCUUUUGUACGGAACGAAACGGUCCUGGCUAAUACCCGGGGCUAAUGACGGUACCGUAAGAAUAAGCACCGGCUAACUAUGUGCCAGCAGCCGCGGUAAUACGUAGGGUGCGAGCGUUAAUCGGAAUUACUGGGCGUAAAGCGUGCGCAGGCGGUGCUGUAAGACAGGCGUGAAAUCCCCGGGCUCAACCUGGGAAUUGCGCUUGUGACUGCAGUGCUGGAGGGCGGAAGAGGGGGAUGGAAUUCCGCGUGUAGCAGUGAAAUGCGUAGAUAUGCGGAGGAACACCGAUGGCGAAGGCAAUCCCCUGGGCCUGCACUGACGCUCAUGCACGAAAGCGUGGGGAGCAAACAGGAUUAGAUACCCCAGUAGUCC
rnacentral:rRNA from 1 species